AGGUUUAUGGUUACUCAUGUAUCAGGUGCAUAAGUUUAGAUUAAAGUGGCUGUUUGCCUAAAGAGGAGUUACCAUAGCACUAUUUAUCCAGUUUUGAAUGGAUACAAUUUCAAAUUAUAAAUCUGUUUAAUUAAAUUUGGGAAUUUUUGUGAUCCUUAACAACGUGUGAGUAGUAUAGACUGAUACAUGGCAAUGCAAGAAUAGCAGUUUGAAUAUUUGACUCAUAACCAACACUUGAUAUUUUUAAAGAUCAUGGCCACGUUUCUUCAGCUAUCAAUUUAUGAAUAUUCCUAUCAAUCUUGAUGAAGAGGCAGUUCACGUAUGCUUGACCCAGUUUGGGUUUUCCUCCAGUGAAUGCUAGUCAAAGAAGUGAGGUUUUAGUCAACCAGUGUACGCGAAUGGAUAAAUUAAUUUAAUUUUUUUACAAAUGUGUCAUUGUGUGUGUACAUAUGAUGUUUACAUGAUGUUCUCACAAUGCAGUGAUGUUCUGUUGCCUUGUGGGAUACUGUGCAAUACUAUUCAUAGUCUAAAAUGCCAGCUCCAGGAACAGGUUGGAGGUCAUAUUGGCUUUCUUCUGGCCAGAGCACAGGCUGCUGGGAAGGUUGUCUUCUGGGGCAAUGGAUUCUGGGAAGGUUGUCUUUAGGGGCAGUGGAUUCUGGGAAGGUUUUCCAUCAGGCAAUGGAUUCUGGAAAGGCUGUCCAUCUAGUUUUGAGUUAUUAUUUUGAAACAGGGCUAUGGGGAAAUAUUGAUCAAAAACUUUUUCAGUAUAUUUCUAUUUAUAAGUCAUAUAGUUAGGGAUGGAUGGCUUUUUAAUUCCCUUUCUGAUAUAUGGAUGCUUUGAAAAAUGGUCAGUUGCAUUUAGAAUCUUAUGAAUGAGAAUAGUGAUUUCGACUUUCCUCCCAGAAUUUCUCCACUGAUAUUUGAUCCAAUUGCUGCUAAUGGCUUGAAAUUCUCAGUGCCACCUUUGCAAACAUAUUUGGUUGAUUGAGUGUGUCUGUACUCCAUGUCUGAGUGGGCAGGUAUGUCUCUCCCUGUAACUGGGGCUGAUAGUUUGGGCUGUGCAGUCUUAUCUGUAUAGCAACUCUGGUCACUGAUUAGUGACAACCUGUAGAUAUGCGUUAUAUUUAAAAAUUGCUUACUUAUUAAUAUAUAUCUUUGUUGGUCAUUUGAUAAGUGUGCUUCUGUAGCAAGUGCUUCAGGUAGAUGAUGAGAAUAGCUGUAGCAAAUCUGAAGGUGUAUGCUUCAUGAGGUGUCCUGAUGGACUUGGUUAACGGGUUAACAUUACAGUUUUCAUAGUUAACUCUUCUUUUUAAUGACUUUGCAAACUCAGGAAAUGUGCAGUGCUGCAAAUAUUUAGGAAUAGUGACUAUAUAGUUCAGUAUCACACUGGCAUUAUCUUGCCGUAUUGCACCAGUGAGGACUAGACAGAUUACUGCUUUGUUAUUAUCAUGGGAUUAUCGGAUGAACUGGUUAUAUUGGACAUUCAGGUCAGAAUGGUUACAUUGUUUUGUUUAAUUAAAUGUUUUGGUUUCUUUUCUUUUCUUUUCUUUCUUUCUUUUUUUCAAUUUUUUUUCAGUGUUUAAUAAUUUAGCUUUAUGGUUUUUUUAACAGAUUUCACUAGGUCAACAAUUCUGUUAAGACUCAUUUUCCUGCAUUUAGUACAUUAUUGUCUCUUGGCAAUUUUGUAUGAGGAAUCUCAAACUAGUUACCCAUUGUCAAGUGCUUUUGAUUUGUUUUAAAAUCAAUACAUUUGGUUGGUCAAAUUUCAGCUCAUUGUAAGUUUCAAAUUUCAUUGUUUCUUUUUGGGGGAGGUUAUCUAUCAUAAUUGUCAGAGUGUCUCUUGUCAUAUCAACGUCGUCAUCCACCAGAUUCGCUUUGUAUGUUCUAUCGGAUACACCCAACCAUUUCAUUUGUACGACAUACACCUUCAGAUUUGAUAGUUUGUAUGUAUACUUUCACCAUUGGUAUAUGAAGGAGCUACAGUGGGGAAGGAGCCACCUUUACAGUGCUGUUUACUUGAUUCAUUACUAUGUUCCUUAUGAAAGCCCUCUGCGACCGGAAUCAAACAAUCAGCUUUGUAUUACUGUAGUACCAACUGCUCAUAUGUCAUGUGAUAAAAUCAUUCUCAGUUGACAGUAAUGGCAUUUAAAGGACUUUUUUCAGGCUUUAAAUUGUUGACUGUGUCAGUUUAAUUUUAAGACCUAACUUGGUAUUCCAUUGUUUAACAUUUUGAUGAAAAUGUUUUUAAAAUUUUAUUCUCUGGAGAUGUUGAUGGAUAAAUCAAAACUCAAGCCUGUCAAGAAACCGACAAUAAAACUAUUAUUCAUGAUUUUUUUUUUAACAACCAAAACAUUUUGUUUAAUUCUGGGAUCUACUUUUGAAAAGUUGAAAACUUUUCCAAAGUGUCAGAUUACACCUGGAACAAAUGUUUGGAAGUAUGAGCUCAAUUACCAGAUCAUUUUUUAAAUUUAACCCUGAGAAAAAGACAGUGGUUUUAGUGAAGGUAUUGAUUGAAUAAUCUGAAAUAUUUAAAUCCGAAUUAUAUUCCUACUUUCUAAAAAUCACUGUUAAAAGCUUUUUGUGAAGUAAAACAGAUAAUUAGAAAUAGUCCUCACAGAUUGGAUAUCUUCCAGGUUCUAAGAACAGUUUUAGGUAAUAUGGGCAUGGCUUGGUUUUGAUUUUGAAAUAUCACUGGCUCUGUUAAUUUUAGUUCAUCAUUUUAUACUUUUACGACAAUUAUUUUAACCACCUUUAUUUCCAUAAUAAAAUGUUGAUACUCAUUUUAAGUUUUAAACAUCUCCAUAAGAUGGUUCUGUGACAGAUUGAAGAUGAUAGCGCUAAAUGUUUCACACUACUAAAUAAUCCAUUUCUUAUUGUCAAAUGUACUUGAAUCUACACUCUUAAUAUUGUUCGAACCAACACUUGAAAGUUCAUAGAAUGAACAUAGAAAUGACCAUGCCAAAGUGUAAGAAUUAACCAUUUGAUGACAAAUAUCCUAGGCUGGACUAGAGUUGUGGUACUGUGUUGUUGAAAGGGUUAAGCUGUGUAUAGUGUUGUAUUUAUUUGCAGCUUGCUGCUAGAUAGACUGACUGGGAGGGAGUGUGGUAGUAGUAGUAGUAGUGAGAGAGUGUUGACGAGUGAGUGAGUGAGUCAGUUGGAGAAGGUGUGUUUGAGAUGGAUGAUGACUCAUUUUGUCCCAGCACAGCACAAUGUCCUGGAAGUUUUUACAGCCGAAUGUUUUGUACAUCUAUAACAUAACUCCUCAUACGUCAUAUUUACUGGGAAAUGUGAUUCAACCCAGCUCACUGUAAUCUGUAUAAUUGUUAAAGAUUUAGGUGUAUAAUAUCAUUGAAUAAGAAUUCCUUUUUUUUUCAUUCUUGUGUAUAUGUUAAUCUAUGGUCGGACUAUAUUUGACAGAUUGCAGGAAGCAAUUUAUGGGGUGGUGGAAUCAAUCACUGGAAAUACUUUAAAAUUUAGAUGUCAGAGUUGAUAUAGAACAUAUUGUGUUGAAACCAUUGGGGAAGAAAAAAUAUUUUCAACAGUCUCAACAUUGCUAUUUUCAUUUUUCUACUUUUUAAUUCUUAGGCUUGACUGUAAAACAAACAAAAUUGGUCUGACGGUGAAAGAGUUUGUGACUGGAACUAGGUGAGUGUUGUGACAGGUGCUGUGCUGUGGAUACUGUGAAUGUGAUGCUGAGCAAAUUGUACAUACAUCCCAGCGUCUGUAUGUUCGCGUGCAUGUACUGCGUCCAGCGUCCCUGUCUAUCUGUUGUGGGUCCACAGUCUAGAUGUCUACGGUUGUCUCUGUGGCUCGAAGGUAUUAAUUUUAUGUAAUAAAACAGUCACGCAAAGCCUUA